rnacentral:rRNA from 1 species
UACGUAGGAGACGAGCGUUGUCCGGAGUUACUGGGCGUAAAGGGUGCGCAGGUGGCCGCGCGCGUGGGGGGUGAAAUCGCCUGGCUUAACUGGGCGGGGGCCUUCCAGACGGCGUGGCUUGAGCAGCGGAGGGGGGCGUGGAAUUCCGGGUGUAGCAGUGAAAUGCGUAGAGAUGCGGAGGAACACCGAUGGCGAAGGCAGCCCCCUGGGCUAACACUGACGCUGAGGCACGAAAGCGUGGGGAGCAAACAGG